rnacentral:ncRNA from 1 species
UGUCUUCGGGGCGGGGUGAAAUUCCCCACCGGCAGUAUAGUCUGCGAACCCGGGUUUUCCCGGGCCGAUCCGGUUGAAUUCCGGAACCGACAGUAUAGUCUGGAUGAGAGAAGGCG